rnacentral:rRNA from 1 species
UACAGAGGGUGCGAGCGUUAAUCGGAAUUGCUGGGCGUAAAGCGCGCGUAGGCGGCUUUGCAAGUCGGGUGUGAAAUCCCCAGGCUUAACCUGGGAACUGCAUUCGAGACUGCAUUGCUAGAGUAUGGGAGAGGGAAGUGGAAUUUCCGGUGUAGCGGUGAAAUGCGUAGAUAUCGGAAGGAACAUCAGUGGCGAAAGCGACUUCCUGGACCAAUACUGACGCUCAUGUGCGAAAGCGUGGGGAGCAAACAGG